UAUAUUUGGUAAGCGACGUAUCGCUCCGAAAUGGCUCCUGCAUUUCGGCUCAAAAUUCUUAGUUAUUAGAUUCACUAUUAUACCAUCAAAGAAAAAAAGCCUGCCUCAUUCAAAAUGGUAAUUAGAAGAAAGGAAUGCUUGUGUACACACACUUUACUACAGUAAAGUUAGAUAUGAAACUAAUUGUAUCAAACUAAACACAUCGGGAUAUAAGUUACUGAUCACCACCAGAGAAAGGCCAAAAAUGCGACAAAAAAAACGACCUCAUCAAAAGACCUACAACUAUAUGAAAAUUGAAUGGGUUAAACCCAAAAUACCAAAAAAAAUUCAAAACAGAAAAACCAUGCAACAAUUGAAAAAAAAAAAAUUAUUCAAGUUUGUUGAAAAAAGUUGAAGAAUGGAACGUUCCCGUUGGAAGUUCCACAUUUCUUGUUCAUUUUCCCCCGGAUUUUCAGGGGUUUUACGUUUAAUUAUAAGCUAGUGGAAUUGAAAAAAAAAAUAUAUAUUUCCAACAUUAAUUCUUUUAUACUCAUAUUUUGAUUGAUUGUUUGAAUUUGGAAGUAAUUGUUUCUUGCCACUAGGUCCUACGCCUCAAGGAGCUAUGGCUUAACAAUAAUGUAGUAAGUAUUAUUGAAAGAAUUAUAGUUGGAAAUAUAUAUUUGAAAUCGAACUACCCAAAAUUUCGGUCUUAUACGGAAGAUUUAAAAAAUUAUAAAAAUAUGAAAAUCACAAAAACAUGACUGACACAAAUGACUCUUAUUCGAAAUAUUAAGGAAGGCUCAGAAUUUUAUUUGUUAUUUGUUAAUGAAGUUGUUUAUGAAAAUAAACAGAUUGUUUAAAAA